GAUGGUUUUCUGGCCCUUUAAUUUUGAUGUUGAUUUACUGUGUGUGAGUAUACAUAUUUGUCACACACAGUCACUAUCUUUGAAAGUGAUGGUGCACAAC
rnacentral:pre_miRNA from 1 species